GUAACAGAGACACAGGAUCAGCCCAGAGAAGUCAUAAACAAACGACUACAGCAAUGUGAUUCUGUAUUAUCAGUUGACAGUAUGAAAGCCUUUUUCAAAGCUGACAUUUUGACUUGUCAAAAUAGGAAAAGAGUCCCAGUGAUGCACGACAGUGUGACAGUGAGUUUCUUUGUUUGUUUGUUUGUUUGUUUGUCUGCAGGAUUACGCAAUGAACUGAUUUGCACCAAAUUGAGGGAUGGGGCAUGAGCUAGGGAGGAACCCAUAAAAAUUUUGUGGCAGAUCUCGAUCAUUAACUGGGGCGGGCCCACACUCCUGACACAAAACAUCAUACAAAAUACCAUAAAGGCAAUGCUCCGAAAAACAAGACAGGAAACAGGAAAACCACACGUUAGCAGUGUGAUGUCUCUAUGGCAACAGGUCAGGAUGUUAUCAAUGAGGAAAGUACGAAGACGACAGGUAGCUCUUUGUUCAGCUGGUCUCAUCCUGAUUUUAAACUGCUUCAAAUGCAGCCCACCACCAAGAUUUUUUGUUUCAUUGUUGUUCGAAGGUAAUUUAGAUAUGUAGUCAAUUGAUUUUUGAAAGUGAUUGCCUGUAUUGUCAGAAAGUAAAAAUGUAAAAGUUAAAAGUUCAUUGCAGUUUGUGCUCUUUCUGGCAUGGAUUUUACAUGUUCCUGCAGAAUUAUAAAAUCCACAUUAUUACAGCAUCCCCAGAGUGUAUUAUAAUGUAGGUUUUGUAAUAUAGGUUUUGUCUCUUCCUUUCACUUCGAACAGGCCUGACACAGUUUUGUCGUAAAGGUUUCUGUCCUGAUUCAAAAUGAAUCCCCAUUAAUACAAUUGAAGGCCCUUGCAGAUUGGGUUGCCUUUCUGAGAGGCAGAGCGGUUUGUAGAUGAGCCUAUAAAAAACAAGCCCUUGAGAGACUUUCAGUUAACCUGCAGUCUUCUAAUCAGAUUGUUUUCCAGCAUGCAUGGAAACAUUUUGUUUUGAGUAAUUUCUUUUGGCACUGACAGAAACAACAGGAAAAUAUCUGAAUCUUAAAGAUUAAAGCAACAAGCAGCUCACGUCCAACUUGAGACCAUCCUCUGUGAUGAGAAACUUUGAUUGACUUUAUUUUAAAGGGUCACAUUGCUUUACUGUUGAUAUGUAUAGUUCAGCUAUCUGAUAAUAAUGUAUGAAAACCUUACAUUUGAUCACAAACAUUUAAAACAUUUUUGAAACGUAAAAGUUUAUGUUUUUGAUCAUUAAUAAAGAAUACAUUUUAGUAAUGAACAGAGAUUUUGUCUGGAUAGAGUCUGUAUUUUUAUAAAUGUUGGACUUUCUAGAGUCUUAUCUACCUGGGAACAGUUUAGUAAUU